rnacentral:tRNA from 1 species
GCCAGCGUUACCGAGUAGUUAGGUGAUGGCCUGCAGAGCCAUUUAUCGUGGGUGCAAAUCCCACCGCUGGCU